rnacentral:rRNA from 1 species
CCUACGGGAGGCAGCAGUGGGGAAUAUUGCUCAAUGGGCGGAACCCUGAACCAGCAACGCCGCGUGGAGGAUGAAGGUUUUCGGAUUGUAAACUCCUUUUGUUAGAGAAGAUAAUGACGGUAUCUAACGAAUAAGCACCGGCUAACUCCGUGCCAGUAGCCGCGGUAAUACGGAGGGUGCAAGCGUUACUCGGAAUCACUGGGCGUAAAGAGCGCGGAGGCGGGAUAGCAAGUCAGAUGUGAAAUCCUAUGGCUUAACCAUAGAACUGCAUUUGAAACUGGUCUUCUAGAGUAUGGGAGAGGUAGGUGGAAUUCUUGGUGUAGGGGUGAAAUCCGUAGAGAUCAAGAGGAAUCCUCAUUGCGAAGGCGGCCUGCUGGAACGUAACUGACGCUGAUGCACGAAAGCGUGGGUAUCAAACAGGAUUAGGUACCCCUGUAGUC